CCUACGGGAGGCAGCAGUAGGGAAUCUUCCGCAAUGGACGAAAGUCUGACGGAGCAACGCCGCGUGAACGAAGAAGGUUUUCGGAUCGUAAAGUUCUGUUGUUAGAGAAGAACACGCAGAACAGUAACUGGUUCUGCGCUGACGGUAUCUAACCAGAAAGUCACGGCUAACUACGUGCCAGCAGCCGCGGUAAUACGUAGGUGACAAGCGUUGUCCGGAUUUAUUGGGCGUAAAGCGAGCGCAGGCGGUCUUUUAAGUCUGAUGUGAAAGCCCACGGCUCAACCGUGGAUGGUCAUUGGAAACUGGAAGACUUGAAUGCAGAAGAGGUAAGUGGAAUUCCAUGUGUAGCGGUGAAAUGCGUAGAUAUAUGGAAGAACACCAGUGGCGAAGGCGGCUGUCUGGUCUGUAACUGACGCUGAGGCUCGAAAGUAUGGGGAGCGAACAGGAUUAGAUACCCGAGUAGUC
rnacentral:rRNA from 1 species